rnacentral:rRNA from 1 species
UACGAAGGGGGCUAGCGUUGCUCGGAAUUACUGGGCGUAAAGGGCGCGUAGGCGGACAGUUUAGUCAGAGGUGAAAGCCCAGGGCUCAACCUUGGAAUUGCCUUUGAUACUGGCUGUCUUGAGUUCGGGAGAGGUGAGUGGAAUGCCGAGUGUAGAGGUGAAAUUCGUAGAUAUUCGGCGGAACACCAGUGGCGAAGGCGACUCACUGGCCCGAUACUGACGCUGAGGCGGCGAAAGCGUGGGGAGCAA